GAUGAAGAACGUAGCGAAAUGCGAUACGUAGUGUGAAUUGCAGAAUUCAGUGAAUCAUCGAAUCUUUGAACGCACAUUGCACCUCUCGGUAUUCCGGGAGGUAUGCCUGUUCGAGCGUCAUUUGUACCCUCAAGCUCUGCUUGGUGUUGGGUGUUUGUUCCGCCUCUGUGUGUGAACUCGCCUCAAAACAAUUGGCAGCCGGCGUACUUGUUUCGGAGUGCAGCACAUUUUGCGAUCCAGAUCAACGUACAGCGGCAUCCAAGAAGCCUUAUUUAACGCUCUUGACCUCGGAUCAGGUAGGGAUACCCGCUGAACUUAAGCAUAUCAAUAAGUGGAGGA
rnacentral:misc_RNA from 1 species